GAUAUGAUAAACUUUGGUGUUGAAGCAAGGUAGAAAGGGUAAUAGUUUGAAUUAAAGGCAGACCUGGUAGCAUGCCACCUAUUACUAAAGGUUGCCAGACAUUUCCUAUUAUAAGGCCUUACUUUCAGUUGCUCACCAGUGCUAAACUUCAACAAAUCAGAGUUAUAGCUAAUGUGUUGCAUAUCUUCCUCUGGCUGCAAGGUUUUGGAAGAAUUCAGCCAAAAUAACUCAGCUUCUCCUGGGCAGAAAGGUAGGGGAAAACAAACUGU